rnacentral:lncRNA from 1 species
GUGAGGCUUGGAGGCCCUCUCGUCAAAACUUCGGAGGGCUCUGUCAGUUUGAAAAGAACAUGACCUUUAAAUUGUAUCAGUAUGUUUGCUGGUGCAUAAGGGAAAGGAAAAGGUUCGUCCUGAUGGAAAACCACUGGGAGACCAAGGAGUAAUUCAGAGGGAACCGGCCCAGGAAGUUAAUUUGUUUAUACAUAAUUCGCUAAGUGGGGCGAGAUGGGGUCCCUGCACCUGCUGGCCACACAGGGCCGAUAGUCCGAGUCUGGGGACACAGCCCAUCUUGGGGUGUUUUUCUUUCCACUGCUUCUCCCGUCUGAGUCACAGAUGUUGUUCUCAGAACAGGCAAGCCAGUAAACUCCUGUGAGUGCAACUGAGGGACAGCCUUUAAGAAAGAAUUUUCUUCUCUACCACUGUCAGCUCUGGAGCUGAAUUAUUAACUUCCGGUGGCAUUAGCAAGGGCCAUCCUGGUUCUGUGCAACCGCAGCAGGAAGAAUCAGCUGCCCACGUCAUUCCUCCGCACUGAGGGGCGAAACGGCCCACACGGUGGAGUGGAGAGAGUCCACAUGGAGAUGGGGAGCCAGGAAACGCACGUUUCCAGUUUGCUUCGCUACUACACUCGGAGAGAGCAUUUUGCUUUCUUGUGGAAGAACCUGGUGUUGCAGCAUCUGUCUGGCUUGGGGUCACUGUUCGUCAGUCUUGAUUCCUGCUGCUCCGGUCCAGGGGAUCCCCAGUCCUGGGAAGGUGAGAGGGGAAUGGAGGAGGCUUAGGGGACAUGGAAGCCUUCAUCUAACCCUGAUCCAUCUCUCAGCUACUAGUCAUUGUUGGAAGCCUCUGGGGAGCCACCACUGCCCCAGUCCCCACCUCUCAUGGUCUCAGGCUGGCUUGGGGAUGGCUUAUCCUGAGGUAAGCCAACGUCUUCUGGUUCCCUGUCAUGUCACAAGUCCCUGUUGCACUGGUAGGCAGCCCCUCUGGGGAGCUGAAGGAUGACACUGCUGGAUUUGCUCUUUUGAAUCAACACAAUUUGCUUGACCUCAGAGUCUCAUUCAUUCCAGGCCCUGAAC